CCUACGGGGGGCAGCAGUGGGGGAUAUUGCACAAUGGGGGAAACCCUGAUGCAGCGACGCCGCGUGUGGGACGACGGUCCUCUGGAUUGUAAACCACUGUCCCCAGGGACGAAGAUGACGGUACCUGGGGAGGAAGCUCCGGCUAACUACGUGCCAGCAGCUGCGGUAAUACGUAGGGAGCGAGCGGUGUUCGGAAUUACUGGGUGUAAAGGGAGCGUAGGCGGGGAUGCAAGUACGGUGUCAAAACUACCGGCUCAACUGGUAGUCGCACUCAAAACUGCAGCUCGUAAGUGUCGUAGAGGCAGGCGGAAUGCCGAGUGUAGCGGUGAAAUGCGUAGAUAUUAGGAGGAACACCGAUGGCGAAGGCGGCAUGCUGGACUACAACUGACGUUGAGGCACGAAAGCGUGGGGAGCAAACAGGAUUAGAUACCCUGGUAGUC
rnacentral:rRNA from 1 species